GUCACUCCAUGGUCACUUCAUGGUCACUGUGUGGUCACUCAGUGGUCACUUCCACGCCAUUCCAGAGGUCACUCAGUGGUCACUCAGUGGUCACUCAGAGGUCACUCAGUGGUCACUCACUGGUCAGUGGUCACUCAUUGGUCACUCAGCGGUCACUCAGUGGUCACUCAGUGGUCACUCAGUGGUCACUCAGUGGUCACUCAGUGGUCACUCAUUGGUCACUCAGGGGUCACUCAGUGGUCACUCAGGGGUCACUCAAUGGUCACUCAUUGGUCAGUGGUCACUCAUUGGUCACUCAAUGGCCACUCAUUGGUCAGUGGUCACUCCGGGGUCACUCAGUGGUCACUCAGUGGUCACUCAGGGUCACUCAGGGGUCACUCAUUGGUCACUCAGCGGUCACUCAGGGGUCACUCAUUGGUCACUCAGGGGUCACCGCGGGGUCAAAGGUCACUGACCUGCUCGCCCAGGUUGCUGAAGGCGUUCCCGUAGGCCCCGCCCCCCACAAGCCCCUCCCCCAGCGCCAGCGCCGCGGCCACGCCCAGCCCGGGCAGGAGGUGAUUGACAGCCACGGCGGCCAAUAGGAACGAGG
rnacentral:lncRNA from 1 species